rnacentral:rRNA from 1 species
GUGGGGAAUUUUGGACAAUGGGCGCAAGCCUGAUCCAGCAAUGCCGCGUGCAGGAAGAAGGCCUUCGGGUUGUAAACUGCUUUUGUACGGAACGAAAAGGCUCUGGUUAAUACCUGGGGCUCAUGACGGUACCGUAAGAAUAAGCACCGGCUAACUACGUGCCAGCAGCCGCGGUAAUACGUAGGGUGCAAGCGUUAAUCGGAAUUACUGGGCGUAAAGCGUGCGCAGGCGGUUUUGUAAGACAGGCGUGAAAUCCCCGGGCUCAACCUGGGAAUGGCGCUUGUGACUGCAAGGCUGGAGUGCGGCAGAGGGGGAUGGAAUUCCGCGUGUAGCAGUGAAAUGCGUAGAUAUGCGGAGGAACACCGAUGGCGAAGGCAAUCCCCUGGGCCUGCACUGACGCUCAUGCACGAAAGCGUGGGGAGCAAACAGGAUUAGAAACCCCUGUAGUCC